GCACAAGCGGUGGAGCAUGUGGUUUAAUUCGAUGAUACGCGAGGAACCUUACCCGGGCUUGAAAUGUACUUGACCGGUCUGGAAACAGACCUUCUAGCAAUAGCAAGUAUGUAGGUGCUGCAUGGUUGUCGUCAGCUCGUGCCGUGAGGUGUCGGCUUAAGUGCCAUAACGAGCGCAACCUACAUUGUUAGUUACUAACGGGUCAAGCUGAGGACUCUGACAAGACUGCCAGCGUAAGCUGCGAGGAAGGUGUGGAUGACGUCAAAUCAGCACGGCCCUUACGUCCGGGGCGACACACGUGUUACAAUGGAUGGUACAGAGGGUUGCUACCUGGUGACAGGAUGCUAAUCUCGAAAGCCAUUCCCAGUUCGGAUUGGAGUCUGCAACUCGACUCCAUGAAGCUGGAUUCGCUAGUAAUCGCGCAUCAGCCAUGGCGCGGUGAAUACGUUCCCGGGC
rnacentral:rRNA from 1 species